GGUGGUUCUCAGGUGACGCACCCCAGAAUCAGGCUCCCUCCUCUCUGGUUCCGGGUGCAUCACCCGAGAACCGCA
rfam:Myotis lucifugus cont2.46909, whole genome shotgun sequence.